rnacentral:rRNA from 1 species
UAUCUCUGUAGAGUCUGCAUAUCAAUAAGCGGAGGAAAAGAAACUAACAAGGAUUCCCCUUAGUAACGGCGAGUGAAGCGGGAAGAGCUCAAAUUUGAAAUCUUCAAGGUUCUGACCUUGACGAAUUGUAGUUUAAAGAAGUGUUUUCGGUUAGAGGAGUAGUAAAAGUUCCUUGGAAUAGGGACAUCAUAGAGGGUGAGAAUCCCGUAUUUGGAUUAUUCAUUUCUAGCUUUGUGAUACACUUUCAAAGAGUCGGAUUGUUUGGGAAUGCAGUCCAAAGAUGGGUGGUAAAUUUCAUCUAAAGCUAAAUAUUGGCGAGAGACCGAUAGCGAACAAGUACCGUGAGGGAAAGAUGAAAAGAACUUUGAAAAGAGAGUUAAACAGUACGUGAAAUUGUCAAAAGGGAAGCGUUUGACACCAGUGUUGUUUUUCCGAAAAUCAAUUAAAAAUUGAUUCAUGCCAGGUUGUAUUGACCUUAUCAGCUUGCAAUUUGGUUUUGGGUCUCUUUUUGAUGCACUUUUCGGUUAACAAGUCAACAUCAAUUUCCUUUGCUGUAAAAAGGUAAGAGGAAGGUGGCUUCAAUUUCGGUUGAAGUGUUUAUAGCCUUUUAUCUCUGCAGUCGGGGAGAUUGAGGUCUGCAGCGUAGAUCCUUCGGGGCUAGAUACAUUUAUGCUAAGUUAUAGCUUUUCAUAGACAACUUGUUGACUAUGUUUAGUCAUGUAGCUUACUCGUAAGUGCUAUUUUACCUACGCUUAGGAUGUUGAAGACUCUACAGAGAUC